rnacentral:rRNA from 1 species
CCCUUAGAUGUCCUGGGCCGCACGCGCGCUACACUGACCAGUGCAACAAGCAUCCGUCCUUGGCCGACAGGCCCGGGCAAUCUUUGAACGCUGGUCGUGAUGGGGAUAGACUUUUGCAAUUUUUGGUCUUCAACGAGGAAUUCCUAGUAAACGCAAGUCAUCAACUUGCAUUGAUUACGUCCCUGCCCUUUGUACACACCGCCCGUCGCACCUACCGAUUGAAUGGUCCGGUGAAGCCUCCGGAUUGGCGCGCACCUCGGUGCCGCCGAGAAGUUGGCUAAACCUUACCAUUUAGAGGAAGGUGAAGUCGUANCA